rnacentral:rRNA from 1 species
GAUUAACGCUGGCGGCGUGCAUAACACAUGCAAGUCGAACGAUGAAACUCAUUAGAUUUCUUCGGAAUGAAACUGAAUGGAUUAGUGGCGAACGGGUGAGUAACGCGUGAGUAACCUGCCUUACACAAGGGGAUAGCCUCUGGAAACGGAGAAUAAUACCCUAUGAAACCAGACAAUCGCAUGAUAAUCUGGUCAAAAUGUUUAGUGGUGUAAGAUGGACUUGCGUCUGAUUAGCUAGUUGGUGAGAUAAAAGCUCACCAAGGCAACGAUCAGUAGCCGGCUUGAGAGAGUGUACGGCCACAUUGGGACUGAGACACGGCCCAGACUCCUACGGGAGGCAGCAGUGGGGAAUUUUGCACAAUGGGGGAAACCCUGAUGCAGCGACGCCGCGUGAUUUAGAAGGCCUUCGGGUUGUAAAAAUCUUUUGUAUAGGAAGAAAAUGACAGUACUAUACGAAUAAGGGCCGGCUAAUUACGUG